UUAAAAACAUUUAAAAGCCUUCUUAACAUGGUAUGACAGAGUUUUAGGCCUCUCUUUUUUGUUAGAAACAAGUGGCAAAUGAUGAGGACAAGUGUAGGAAGAAGAUGCUGGCAGAAGAAUAAUCUUCUUCAUGGUCCUUCAAGAGGAACAAUGGAACCAUCUUCCAAGUGAGGUGAUCAGUGCCCCAGACUGGUCAGUGCCUCACAAACAGGCUACGUUGUCAUUAACAGGCUUUAACUUUUGGUCAGCACUGAAGUGGACUUGAUGAUCCUGAUUGAACCUCUCUCAUUCCAACCCCUCUGCCAUGGGCAGGAACACUUUCCACAAGAUCAGGCUGAUCCAAGCCCCACCUGACCUGGCUUUGAGCACUUCCAGGAUGGAGCAGCCACAGCUUCUCUGGGUAAUCUGUGCCAAGUUCUCACCACCCUCACAGGUCAGAAUUUCUUCCUAAUUAUUUCUACUUCUUCAAGGUCAGACAGCGUGGUGCUGGACAACAACCUUUCUUAUUUUCAUCUGGCAUGAACAUUUCUGCUCAUGUGGGCCUUGAAAUACCCACAUUUCCCACAUGACCUCAAAAAUUCCCAUCACUCUCAAGCAGCAUCCCCUGCCAUGGUCCCACCCUGCCUUGCUUCUGGGAUCUGUCUGUGCUUUGAUGGCUGAGAGGGAUGGAGGGCAAUCACAAUGAGCUUGAGCUGGCACUGUUGCUGUACCCAAAAUACAGAGCCUUUCUCCAUGUGCUGUGGCAUCAGGGAGCGGUGGGAGGGACAGGCACAUUUUCCCUGGGCAGAAACUCCCUGUCUCAGAGGCAGGAAGCAUUGCAACCCUGUGAACAUCAUACUUUAGCUAAUCCAGACCCCAGUAGGGAGCUGGGGCUCACUAACUCAGCAUUGUGGCAUCCUGACACCACUGUGUGGCAUCUGGAACCCAAGCCAGUAUUUCUACCUGGUCAUCUGGUGUACUACCUGAUACAUCUGAUAACCUGAUAUGUCUGAUAACCUGAUAUAUCUGAUAACCUGAUUAAUGUGCCUGGCCAAGGCUUGCUUGGGGGUCCCCACAGAGGACAGGGAGAGGCAGGGAUUGCUCAACCCAGCUGCCCCCCACCCCUGGAUGCUGCAGCAGUUGUUUUCCAUUGCACCCACGGCCACGUGUCACCUGGUGUUAUUUGGAGUGUGUGCCCCGUUCGAUGCCUUUUUUCUGAGCAUAAACUGGAAAUUACUGAUUCUUACCUUACACAGCUAGUAUAAAAGCACUAAUGUCCUAAUGAAGAGUCUCACUUAGCUAAAUGCUUCAUACAGCUGAGUAAAACAAAGAAUUUUACUAGAGCUUAACCCAGUCCUUAAUAAGCUUUUUAACCCUGACCUUUCAAAUCAAUGAUCUACCACUGGUUUUACCUUUCAAGAAGGAAUUCCAUUUUCAAGUGAUAAAACAUAUUUUGCACUCCUUACAAUCUAAUGAUUAUUCUCAGCGUUACUGGAUAUAUGAGGCCAUCAAACCAUUAGAAGGUAUAAAAUGUAUUAAUGUACAGCAUUCAUGGCUACAUUUACUUUAGAGUCAAUAAAAGGGAAACAAUUUAUAAAGGGCAUUUAUGCUCAUUACGGAAUAUCGAUAGAUUGUUUCUCCCAUCAUUCCUGAAGUAUGAAGGACUCCCCUCCAUGAUGGAUAGGAGAGGAUUUGCAUAAGCUCUUUGCUUAAACUCCUGCAGCCCUGAGCUGUGUGCAGGGUCUGUGGCCAGGCUUUGGGCUGGAAUGUGUGGGAGCACCCACAAAUUCUUCCUGUCCAAGGACUGAGCAUCUCAGUUUGGGAGGUUUUCACAGCACCCUUGUGAAGGUUCUGUAGAGAACCACGGCACUUUCAGCACCAGGCAGGAAUUGUCACAAGGCUGUGGGCAAAUGGAAUCUAUGUUGGAAAAGAAAGGAAUUUGUUUGUGAAGCAAGUCAGGGCUGGAGCGCACAAAUGAAGGCAGAGCUUUGCUGACCACCUUCAUAAGCAGGGAGAGGGACUUUUUGACACAUAUGGGGAAAAAAAAAGGGAGAGGAAUUACAUGGAGUGUAGAAGAUGCUGUAGGAGCACUGUAGCUACAGGUAGAGGCAAAAAUUUCAUAGUCUAUCCUAGUGAAUAACAACUGCAGAAAUAUAAUAACUAUGAGGAGUCGAGUGAUUAAGGCACGGGCCUGAGUCUCAGCAGACCUGGAUUCGGUUCCUGGCUGUUUUCAGAUUUCUGUCUGACUUUUGGCAAGCCUCUUCAACUCUCUGCGCCUUGGUUUCCCAUCUGUUAAAGAGGAAUAAUAAUAUUUCCUUUCUUUCCUGUCUAUUCCAGCAGCAAUCUCUUCUGGGCAGGCACUGUCUCUCUCAUGGCUUGUACAGGACUUUGCCCUUGGAUUUUCAUACCUACCCUAAAGCAGGAAAUAGGGAUGGGGAGCACCAUGACAUGGAAGCCCUCUUAUUAGCAAUUUCCUGUCACUGAGGAUCUAAAAGGUGUGCUGCAAGUUGUUAAAUAGAGUCCUUAAUAUCAGUUCUUCCAGGACAAAAGAAAAAAAUAUCAAUCAGUAAAUUAGAGAAGGAAAGUGAUUCACAUACCUAUCAAGAUUUCUAAGUCUAAAUGUAUUUUCUGAAGUAGAAAUAUUCCAGUUUGAAAGAACAGAGAAAACAUUAGCCAUGGCACAAAAGCAGAGGGCUGGCCUUCUCCAUUUCUGAUCUUGCUCCUCCAAGUCUGGCUGCUCUAUAUGGACUGACCUUUUUAGCAUUUCUCACUGACAAGACAUUGUCUUGAGGUACAUUGUGGCUUCCUGACAUGCUCGUGCUCCUGGCCAUCUGGUGGGAUGAAGUUGUGCCCACUCAGAGGCACACACACCCUGCAAGGGUGACUGGGUAAUAUCAGUUGCAGAGCACUGGUUGAAGAGAACAACCAGUAAAUAUAUAAAAUUAAAUCUCAGCUGCAGAGGCUUUCUGGUAAUAAGCAGCCCCAAUUAGAAAUGCAAAUGUCACUGAAAGGGAGCGUGUCUGUUGACAGUAGACUUUGAGGAAAGCUUUGGGUUUAGUGCUAGGAAAUUAAUCUUUAAUUAUGAACACACCUCACUUCUGAAAGAGGUGCCCUGCACUCACUGAACUGACAGCAAGUGAAAGUUUCAGGCUGCUGCUUUCUUCUGUCAAAUGGAGCAUCUCUCACCAAAAGAGCAGAGGAGAAACUUGUUGGCUGCUCCUUGUGAGCUGGGGCUGGCUAGUGUCACUGACCCUCCAGACAACCAGGAUUCACCAACACAUUAAAAACACUGGUCUUAAAACAUUCUGUCUCACAUGCUCUUGAUAAAUAUAAGUAUCUAGAUGAAGAAUUGUCAAAGUUUGGGGAAGAAAAACAGUCCUUGCUCCUGCAGUUCUCUCCUUCCCAGGCUGGGUUGUCUGCCCUCCAUGCAGAGCACACUUUUCAGGCAGAGGGGGGACCACACCAAGCUACAGCAAACCCUUCUCCAGAGCAGCCAUGAGAAUGUUCAGCACCUCCACUCCUGGGCUGGCUGGAUUAUUAAAACAACAUUUCCACUUCCAACCUACAGCUAAAAAGCUUCACCCCAAGAGCUUCGUUGCCCAAAAGAGGCCGUGCUGCAAAGCCACCUCAAAAGGCCCAGAACACCUGGUUUCAGGCACAACAGGAAGAUCAGAACAUACCUUAUCAUAAAUAUGCAUAUGCGAGGCAGGAGCCCGCCACCUUCUUGGAGUGAUGCCAUAAUUGACGGAACAAAGUACAACAAAACUUCACAUCACUGGUGGAUCAGAAGAACAGAGGAGAGCUGCUGAAAUGGCAAGCAGAGGCCGGCUCCAGAUAUUGGUCUGGGUCUGUGAGAGGAAAGUGAUGCAGAGGAGUCUAAUUCAUGAACAAUUAUCACCCUCUGAUAAGACACCAUCUGCUCCCAGCUGCCUGGCUCCAAUUCUCCAACAGACAGUUGGGAAUUCCUCUCCAAAUAAACCACUGGUGUAACAGGAAAACAGAACUGUAAGCUCCAGUGAGGUUGCGCCUCCUUGCAUCAGCACCGAGUGUGUCUCACUCUUUCAACCAAGAAGUAAAAAUAAUACUGGGAAAGGCAGUAAAAUGCCAGCAACCACCGCUGAAAGAGCCAGCUCAUCUGAGGUAUGAGUCACUUCCAUCAAAAGAGGAGGAUGCCUUGAUCUGUGUGUGAGCGAGCUUUGGAACAGCAGCUGUUGGAGCAAAUACAAACAUCCAUGCCAAGGAUUGUGAGGAUGGAGUUUAUCUAAUAUGUAAAAAAACACCUGCUGCAAAUGAAAAAUUACACCCACAACCACCUGAAUAAGAUAAGCAAAUGAUGGGGGAAAUGAAGAGACAGAUUUAUUAUUAAUGCUGACAAAGAAAAUUCCUGUGGAAGAAAGGAGGAGGGAUUGGUAAACACCCCAAGGUGGUGUCGCUUGCUAUUUGCAGCUCAUGUGCUUUGAGGAUCUCCAGCC